GUAUUUCUUGGUGCCGCCCCGGCAAAGGCCGCGUAGAGUGGAGCUGCUGCCGGAGAUGCCUAACGGUGUGUUCUGAGGAGCGGCCAGCGGCGCGAUGGAGCGGGCCAGGGACCGUUUACACCUGAGACGGACUACAGAACAGCACGUACCAGAGGUAGAAGUCCAAGUCAAACGGAGAAGAACAGCCUCACUGAGCAACCAGGAGUGUCACCUGUAUCCAAGGCGAUCUCAGCAGCAGCAGCAAGUACCUGUGGUGGAUUUCCAGGCGGAACUGAGACAGGCAUUCUUAGCUGAGACACCAAGAGGUGGUUAAAGAAGUAUUGGAACACCCAGGUAGCUGAUUCCAAGAGAGAAAACAAAAUAAAACAGCUGACAAUGUAAUAAAGCUAUUAAUCUAUGAUUUUUUCAAUGUUUCAAUGUAGGUUUAUUUACAGUGUGUCUUGUGUUGGUUGCUUAGAUUUUUAGGAAAACACUAUUAACUUUGAUUUAAUACUUUAUUUUUCCUUUCCGACUUUUAAAAAAUUAAGAUCUCAAUCCAAAGGGUUUAAUGUAUACUUUUUAGAAACUGCUAGAGGAAAGGGGUUUAUAGAUGAGUUUUCUUCUAGAUUUUCUUUAUUUCUAUUUUGAAAUAUAACCCCUCAACUCAAAUUAAUUAGGCCUGUUUAUGGCCAUCAUUUCAAAUUUUAAAGCAAAGGGAAAAUCCUCCCCAGCUGAAUCCUUUACCCAGCAUUCGGCAGUAAUUGAUUGGAUUUGAUUGCAAGACAGUGGAAUUGAUUUCGGGGGGCGGGUAGAAUCUGAUCAUUGUUCUCAGCUGUUCCCCAGAGUAAGGGCGUUUUUAAAUAAGUAAGUGUGCAUAAUUGACUAUUUUUAACCAAGAAUUUUUUGGCUUCUCAGUGCAGUUUACAUACUCUUGUAAGUUCCUGAGUAAAGUAUUAUUUAAAUUAUACAUUAUCUGUAAGUAGGACCAUCCAGUUUUCUGAGUUUCAAGUGCUCGUUUCAUCUAAACAGUACUAGGUACUAGGAUUGUUAUAGAGCAGGAGUUGGUAAAGUAUCUGGCCCAUUUAUUGCCUGUUUUUGUAAAUUUAUUGACACACAGCCAUGUCUAUUUAUUUACGUAUGGCCUGUGGCUGUUAUUGGCAGUACAGUGGCAGAUGGGAGUAUUUGUGACACAUUGAAUGGCAGGCAAAGCCUACAAUAUUUAUUAUCUUUCCCUUUAAAAGAAAAAGUUGGCUAAUCUCUCUCUUAGAGAACCACUUUCAAAGAUGAAAACACUAAGAUAGGGCCAGUAGGGAAGUGGUGAUAAUAUACAGUGUGGUGAAGGGAAAGGGGUUGUAGAAGGAGAGUAUAUGAAGUAAAUAUUCCACGGUAGAGAACCAGAUGAAUUUCUGGGAUAAGGGUCAGGUCUAAGACUAGUGCUAAAGUCUACUAUACAUGUAAAUGGGUAAAGGCAUUUUAACAAUUGAUAUGUUUUCUUUUUCAUUAUAAAAAUCUAAAUCAUGUGAGUGAUAGCCAAGAAAAAUGGGAAAGUAAACCACAGACUUUAAAUACCCAUGUUUCAACCGCAGCAGCAUGAGGUUGAAUUUUCUUUCAUUUUGCCCUUUUGCUUUUCUUUUGAAAAUGUAGUUAAUUGUAAUCAUGCUUUUAAACUAUUCCACUUAAAUGUAUAUCAUUAAUGUUCCUUCAUUUUAUUACAUAGUCCUCACAGUUAUCAUUUGUAAUGAAUAAAUGAUGGUCCAUUCAUGAUUUACUU